rnacentral:rRNA from 1 species
GACGAACGCUGGCGGCGUGCUUAACACAUGCAAGUCGAACGGAAAGGCCCUGCUUUUGUGGGGUGCUCGAGUGGCGAACGGGUGAGUAACACGUGAGUACCCUGUCCUUGCCCUUGGGAUAACUUCAGGAAACUGGGGCUCAUCCCGGCUAGGAUCUCUUGCUGCAUGGUGGGCGCUGGAUAGUUUCGGCGGUUGGGGAUGUACUCGCGUCUUAUCAGCUUGUUGGUGGGGUAGUGGCUUACCAUGGCUUUGACGGGUAGCCGGCCUGGGCGGGUGACCGGCCACAUUGGGACUGAGAUACGGCCCAGACUCCUACGGGAGGCAGCGGUGGGGAGUAUUGCACAAUGGGCGGAAGCCUGAUGCAGCAACGCCGCGUGCGGGAUGACGGGCUUCGGGUUGUAAACCGCAUUCGCCUGUGACGAAGCGUGAGUGACGGUAAUGGGUAAAGAAGCACCGGCUAACUACGUG